rnacentral:rRNA from 1 species
GACAGAGGGUGCAAACGUUGUUCGGAAUUACUGGGCGUAAAGCGCGUGUAGGCGGCUUCGCAAGUCGGGUGUGAAAUCCCACGGCUCAACCGUGGAAGUGCAUUCGAAACUGCGAGGCUAGAGUCCUGGAGAGGAAGGUGGAAUGCUUGGUGUAGAGGUGAAAUUCGUAGAUAUCAAGCGGAACACCGGUGGCGAAGGCGGCCUUACUGGACAGUGACUGACGCUGAGACGGCGAAAGCGUGGGGAGCCAAACAGGGAUUAAGAAACCCAUGGUAACGU